AGUGAACGCUGGCGGUAGGCCUAACACAUGCAAGUCGAACGGCAGCACAGUAAGAGCUUGCCCUUACGGGUGGCGAGUGGCGGACGGGUGAGGAAUACAUCGGAAUCUACUUUUUCGUGGGGGAUAACGUAGGGAAACUUACGCUAAUACCGCAUACGACCUACGGGGGAAAGCAGGGGAUCUUCGGACCUUGCGCGAUUGAAUGAGCCGAUGUCGUAUUAGCUAGUUGGCGGGGUAAAGGCCCACCAAGGCGACGAUCCGUAGCUGGUCUGAGAGGAUGAUCAGCCACACUGGAACUGAGACACGGUCCAGACUCCUACGGGAGGCAGCAGUGGGGAAUAUUGGACAAUGGGCGCAAGCCUGAUCCAGCCAUACCGCGUGGGUGAAGAAGGCCUUCGGGUUGUAAAGCCCUUUUGUUGGGAAAGAAAAGCAGCAAAUUAAUACCCCGCUGUUCUGACGGUACCCAAAGAAUAAGCACCGGCUAACUUCGUG
rnacentral:rRNA from 1 species